rnacentral:rRNA from 1 species
UACGUAGGGUGCAAGCGUUGUCCGGAAUUAUUGGGCGUAAAGAGCUCGUAGGCGGUUUGUCGCGUCUGCUGUGAAAACCCGAGGCUCAACCUCGGGCCUGCAGUGGGUACGGGCAGACUAGAGUGCGGUAGGGGAGAUUGGAAUUCCUGGUGUAGCGGUGGAAUGCGCAGAUAUCAGGAGGAACACCGGUGGCGAAGGCGGGUCUCUGGGCCGAUACUGACGCUGAGGAGCGAAAGCGUGGGGAGCGAUCCGG